rnacentral:rRNA from 1 species
GCAGCCGCCACGGUAAUACGGAGGGUGCAAGCGUUAUCCGGAUUUAUUGGGUUUAAAGGGUCCGUAGGCGGAUCUGUAAGUCAGUGGUGAAAUCUCACAGCUUAACUGUGAAACUGCCAUUGAUACUGCAGGUCUUGAGUAAAUUUGAAGUGGCUGGAAUAAGUAGUGUAGCGGUGAAAUGCAUAGAUAUUACUUAGAACACCAAUUGCGAAGGCAGGUCACUAAGAUUUAACUGACGCUGAUGGACGAAAGCGUGGGGAGCGAACAGGAUUAGAUACCCGUGUAGUCCCUGUCUCUUAUAC